rnacentral:lncRNA from 1 species
CCAUGUAGGGAAGCCAAAGUGUGAGUCUUACCCUGCUGGUUUACAACUGACUGACAUUUGCUGCCUGGGCAGCUGCUGUGGGUGCCUGGAAACCCUAUUGGACUAGGACUGGCCCCGGCAAAAAACAAGUGUUUCAGCUGCCCAGUGUCCUCUGAGUGGAUGCUGGUGAUUCUGGUAUGGAGCCCAGAUGUAAGGCAGCAGGUGGUCCAGAAGGCACCAGAAGAGGUCUCCUGUCAAGGUCAGGGCCAGAGAGGAAGGCACAGGGAACCUACUGCACGAGACUUUCACUUGCAAAGAGCAACCCAUGAUGAGGAGGGAGGAUUCCUGGGGGCGUUGAGUCUCAUCCAUAAGGACACCUUUUCCAAGUUACUUCAUUUUGUAUAGCUGCAUAGUCCCUCACCCUUAUCACUGUACCAAGAGCUGGCAGCUGAACAAGAAUACAUCUUCUGACCAAGAUCCCUUCUGGGACCAAGGACACAAGGACCCAAGACCUUCUUGCUUGGAAAGUGAAUUCCUCAGAAUUGCGAGAUGAUGCCCGUCUUGGAGGAAGAUGACAUGAGGACCCAAAACCUUCUUGCUUGGAAAGUGAAUUCUCAGAACUCCACAAAGACUCCAGUCUUGGAGGAAGACGAGGUGUUGAGAGAUAGCUGGGAUCCCUGAGGAAGGCAGCCCCAGUCUCCGGUGGAGAAUUACGAGGGACCCAAGCAGAUGGUUGGUGGUGGAAACGUCACCUCAGUCUAGUACUAUGGAGUUUCCUUUCACCCCCAACAGCCGAUGGUUUCCAGGGGCGAAGAAUGAAAAGUGAAGCAAGAUGUCUCUACUGUCCAGGUGCAGAUAAGGAAGCAGGGCGCCUGCCACCCCCAAGGAAGAGUCAGUUCAGAAGCACAGCAGCUGCUGGAAACCCAGGAGGUUUCCAGUUCGUUCCUGCUGGGACCUGGCAAGAGUUGCACUGUCAAGGCUGCAAGAGGCUCCUGACGGCUUCUGGCACGUACAGACUGGAAUAAGAGAACCUAGCAGAAAUGGAAGCAGAGGCAAGAGGUCUGGAGGCCAGGAAAAUGUCAAUGGCAAGCAGCUAGCAUGAAGACCCCACAGUGUUCUUCCCUCUAGUAGUGUGGUAUUAUUUGGAGCUGAGAUGCUCCCAAUAUGGUUGGGACAUUUGUCCCCUCCAAAUCUCAUGUGAGAAUUUGAUCCCCCGUUUUGGGGAUGGGGUCUAAUGGGAGGAGUUUUGGUCAUGAUGGGGGACCCCUCAUGAAUGGCUUGGUGCCCUGCUCACCAGGAGUGAAUGAGCUCUCACUCUACUAGUUCACUGGAGAGCUGGCUGUUUAAAGAGCCUGGCAUCUCCCCCACUUUCUCUCUUGCUCCCCCUUCUCACUGUGAUAUACCUGCUCCCCUUUGCCAUCCAUCAUGAGUGGAAGCUUCUUGAAGCCUCCACCUAAAGCAGAUGCUGACACUAUGCUUCCUGUACAGCCUGCCAUACCAUGAGCCAAAAUAAACCUGUUUUCUUUGCAAAUU